CCUACGGGUGGCUGCAGUGAGGAAUAUUGGUCAAUGGGCGAGAGCCUGAACCAGCCAAGUCGCGUGAGGGAGUACUGCCCUAUGGGUUGUAAACCUCUUUUGUCGGGGAGCAAAAGCCGGACGUGUUCGGCUUUGACAGUACCCGAAGAAAAAGCAUCGGCUAACUCCGUGCCAGCAGCCGCGGUAAUACGGAGGAUGCGAGGGUUAUCCGGAUUUAUUGGGUUUAAGGGGUGCGCAGGCGGAUUUUUAAGUCAGCGGUAAAAUCGUGGGGCUCAACCCCAUCCAGUCGUUGAAACUGGGGAUCUAGAGUGUGCGAGAGGUAUGCGGAAUGCGUGGUGUAGCGGUGAAAUGCAUAGAUAUCACGCAGAACCCCGAUUGCGAAGGCAGCAUACCGGUGCACAACUGACGCUCAGGCACGAAAGCGUGGGUAUCGAACAGGAUUAGAUACCCCGGUAGUC
rnacentral:rRNA from 1 species